UACGGAGGGGGCAAGCGUUGUUCGGAAUUACUGGGCGUAAAGGGCGCGCAGGCGGCUGCUCAAGUCAGGCGUGAAAGGCCUGGGCUCAACCCGGGAAUUGCGCUUGAGACUGGGCUGGCUUGAGUGCGGGAGAGGAUGGUGGAAUUCCGUAGUGUAGAGGUGAAAUUCGUAAGAUAUUGGGAAGAACACCGGUGGCGAAGGCGGCCAUCUGGACCGCAACUGACGCGUGAGG
rnacentral:rRNA from 1 species